CGGUAAUAGAACGUCCCAAAAAGAAAAAGAAAAGGAACCUUCCCUUCUUUCCUCGUCCUUCGCUAUUUCCAACACACACAAGCAAAAUUAGAUCCUUCAGUUCUUUGAGGAAAGCAGAAAAAUGGCAAUGACAAUUGAAGGUAUUUUUUCUGAAUCUCUUCCUUAUUCAAUCAUUUCUGCUUUCUCUUAUUAUCUACAUUUAGAUCAUCUUUUUUUCCUCCCCUAUUUAUUGUACUUUCCCCCCCUUUAUUUCGUUUAAUUUUGGAGCAGCUGAACCUGUUUAUGAAUUUUUUUGGUCCAAUUACUUAUUUUCAUUUAAAUAUGGGUUUAGAUUUCUAGUUUUCGAGGGUUUUGGACUCGAAAAGUAUGGAAUUUUAGUUUAGUUCACCUAAGACGAUGUGUGUUUUUUCUAUUUAGGCGAAGUUUCUGUUUGUUUCUCGGGAAAGGAGCUAGGGAGCGAUUUACAUAAUAGAAAUUGAAUAGUUGAAAAUGGGAUUUUUUUUUUUAAAUUUUAUUAUUAUUAUUUUACAAUCGAUUGGUUGAUUAGAUCUGUUUAGUUUAAAUUCCUUGGUCUACUUAUGGAACUUCCUCAAAAUAAUGAGGCCUGCCGUUUUAUAUAUAAUUCUGAGUGUACUAACAGUCUAAUUACUUUUAAGGUGGAAACUAUCUGUAAGUUAUGGGAUUAAGGUUUGAUAAUGGACUUUGUUUAUUCAUACUCAAUUAUUUCUUUGGAAACUAAAAUUACUGUAAUGUGGUGUAUAUUCUUUGUUUUUAUUGAUUUUGGGCAUGCAAUAGUGUUUGCCAUCUAAUAUUUGAUCAUAGUAAAGUUGAUGUCUUCUGCUAACUAUUUUUCUUUUGGUGCAUUGCCGCUUUGGUGGGUUUCCUGAAUGGACAUGGACUUUUUGUCUGCAGUGCUUGCUGGGCUUGCUUUUAUGUUUUCAGCUAGCAUUCUACUGCAAAUAUUGGUAUGUUUUCCUAGCCUUUUAUGAGAUUCAUAUGGAAGAGAUUACAUGCUCCUCCCACUUAAAGUGCCUUGAAUUUUGAUCCAGUGACUGUUAUUUCACUUUUCUUGAUGAGUCAAAUCAUCUUAGUUUGUGCUUGUGUUUACUUUGCAUGAUUAGAUUAAGAAACCCAGUUUUGUUCUAAGUAAUCUGACUCCUUCAAAUAAGAUGGUUAAACCGUGGAAUUAAUUUUCAAAAUUUUGAUUGAGCCAAUUAAAUUAUAGCACUUGGAUGGAAUUACUCUUUUCUGAGUUUAUUUAUCAAGAAAUGCAACUAUGUUUUGCAAGUUUUGAGUCAUUUGAAAUCCCUCCUUUGUGAUUUAUUUGUUCUUUUGUUUGGGGACAAGCAAAUUCUUAGGUUUGGGGGCAUUUGAUAUUGUAAAUAUUUAUUUGAUAUUGUAAUAAUGUUUUGUUUAAUUAAUCUGGUCCUUUUUUUAUUAUUUUUGAGUGCUUUGUCAGUAAUUUUCAUCUAUAUUAUUAAUUUUGUUAUCUUUAUUGUUCUUAGUUUAGGUAAGUUUAGUGUUUUUAAUCUAUUUUAUGUGAUAAAUGACCAUGGAGUGAAGAAAAUCUAGUCAAGUGAAGUAAUUGGGGUCACUUGGAAGUGUUGGAGGUCCAAAUUCACCUCCUACCCAUGCAUACUGAAGGAUUUCACAUUCUUGGGCGUGACCCUUGUGAACAAUUGAAUAAAAAAUGGAGAAUCAAAGGAAAAUUGCACCAGGUAUAUUCUCAUGCUUAGGGCGUGAGAUUGCCCUAGGCGCACACCUUGGGCAUGAGUUCUUCAAAGGUUAGAGGCUUAGGAGAGAGACAGAUAGGCACCAGAACAGUUUUUACUUAGAUUCGAGCAGCUCAUUCUCGCCCAUUCUUCACUUCUAAGGUCUUGAACACUUUCUAGAAUCCAUUUUUUGAGGAGAAAUCAAGCUUUGAAGGGAAUUUAAUGGUAUUCAAACAUAACAAUAACAAAUGGGUUUCUAAAACAAAAAUUAUGGAAAAUAAAAGAGAAGAAAGAAACUCUAAGGAGCUUAAACCUUGAUCUAGCUCCAAUCUCCCCAAAAUUUCUUCUUCAAAAACCUUGCUCUGGCUCGAAGAUGUCUUUUCUUAGAGUCAAGAAUAAGUGAAAAUGAGUUGCUAGAAUCAAGGAAAAACCAUUCUGAUACCUCCUCAUCUGCUGGUCCACGUGUGAAGGUCGUUAAGGUGGAGAAAAUGCCCUUUUGGAAGACUGUGGAUCUGGUGGAUAAAUGUUUAAUUUCUCAUUUUUCCUUCAAACCACUCACAAGGAUCAUGCAGCGGUAGUGAAAUUAUCUUUCCUGCAUGACUUGGGCGUGAAUUUUGUGUCCUAAAGACUUCCCAAUUGACCUCAAAUGCUUCCUUAACUCAAUUUCCUUCAAUUUAUGGCCAUUUUUCACCUAGAACAAAGUAAAAUCAACAAAAAUAAACUUAGAACAAUCACAUUAACAAGAUUACUAAUAAAAAAAAUAAAUAAAACAUAAAGAGACUCAAAAUUGUUAAAAACCAACAAAAUUAACUAAAAUAAGUACUAUAUUUACAUCACAUAUCCUUAUGCUAGGAAUAAACAUAGGAAGAUUGGUGCUGUUAAAUUUUAUUUUUAAAAAGCUUAUAAUUGUGCAAAUUAAAACUUCCUGAUGGGAUUAUGGAUAAGAAGAGAUUUGUUAGAGUAAAUAGAUUAGAUGAUGUUGAUCUUCUGAGGAAAACUGGAUUCUGCGGGUUUGGUGGUUGAUGAAGCUGUUAAUGAUGAUAAGAAUAAACAUAGGAAGGGUGGUGCUGUUAAAUUGACUUUUGAUAUGGCUUAUGAUUGUGCAAAUUAAAAAUUCCUGAUGGUAUUAUGGAUAAGAGAGAUGGAAGAGAGAUUUGAAUUUAGAGGAAAUAGAUUAAUUGUUGUUUAUCUUCCGAGGAAAACUGGAUUUUGCUGGCAUGUUUGGUGGCAUUUUUGAGAACCAAUUUAGUUAUUUUGCAAGGUUGAAAGGCACAAAGUCAAGGCUACCUGUGUUAAUUUUUUUUUUCUAUUUCUAGUGUCAAUUGAAGGAGGAUGCUUCUCCUGAUUUUAUUCUCUGCACUCCUGAUUUAGAAAUUGUAUUCCAUGUAAAAUUAGGAAAUUAGUGUUUCAUUUAUUUAGGAAAUCCAUUACUAUUAUUAUUAUAUUUAAG
rnacentral:misc_RNA from 1 species